AUGGAGCCUCCGACGACAGCAUCCGUUGAAAACCCAACUCCAGGACCACACCAAACAUCAGGAAUCGCUGCGCAAGCGACGCUACUACUAGUACUAGCUUCGCUCAAGAUCUUAAUCGAACCACCAUUGUAGCUACUACUACCCUUGUUCUUGUUCUUCUUCUUCGUCUUCUUAAUUUUGAAAUUACUAGCAUCCCAAUCCGCGGAGGAGCGAAUCACUGCCGGGACUGAAACUUGCUGAGAUGCGGAGGUUGUGCAGCCUAGACCACGAAACGACGCCGUUCCGUUGGGUUUCUUCUUAGUAGUUUCUGGCAAGAGGAAGAAGGAAGACAUGGCGGAUUUAGAGACGCGGCUAGGUUUGGGGAUUAGAGGUUCGUCGGCGGUGGAAAUGGGUGGGAGAUUUCGAUGAUUCCUAGGUCGUUGGAGUCUCAUGUGUUGACCGAUUGUUGUUGAAGAAGAUGAAGAAGGCUCUGCAGAAACUGGCAUUGUGUUCUUUUUCUCUGUGAGAGAGAGAAAAAACAAAAGAGAGAUAGAGGAUAAUGGAGACACAGGGCGAGGAAGAAGGUAAGUG
rnacentral:sRNA from 1 species